AACCUGGUUGAUCCUGCCAGUAGUCAUAUGCUUGUCUCAAAGACUAAGCCAUGCAUGUCUAAGUAUAAGUAUUAUACAGCGAAACUGCGAAUGGCUCAUUGAAACAGUUAUAAUUUAUUUGAUAAUCGAAUUUACAUGGAUAACCGUGGUAAUUCUAGAGCUAAUACAUGCUGGUAGGCCCGACUUUUUGGUAGGGCGGUAUUUAUCAGAUAACAAACCAAUAUUCCUCUGGUCUAUUGUGGUGAAUCAUAAUAACUGAUCGAAUCGCAAGGUUUUUAACCGCGAUAAGUCAUUCAAGUUUCUGCCCCAUCAGCUUUCGAUGGUAGUGUAUUGGACUACCAUGGCUUUUACGGGUAACGGAGGAUUAGGGUUCGAU
rnacentral:rRNA from 1 species